GAAACUAUUAGAUUUUGUUUAAGAGAAUUAAAUUCAUAUGAUUUUUUUUAAUUUAAUGUAGGAUGGAGUUGUAAACUUUUUGAAGCUAUGAGUGUGUGUGAUAGAUGGACUUUUUUCUCGACCAUCAGCAGGAAUUAAAGGCAGAAGGUUCGUCGCAUAGACAACUGGCCGGCGAGCUUUGGAUCGCGACCCAUAACUAGAAACCCAUCGCGUUUCGCCGUCGGCCUUUCGAGUACCGCAAACAGGGACAAAAUGGCACUUUCCUUUAACGGGAUAUCUGUUGGUAUUUCCUCCUGGCCCAUGCCCACAGGGCCGACGCGAUCUUUCUACAAACCGAGAUUAAAAACGAGACUCUGCCUUUAAUUUCCCCCUCGUCGCCUGUCGGGGGAAGAAAAAACAACGCCUUUUUCUUCCUGGAGAACGGAGCGGGUUCGACAACCGGACUAGGAGACAGACGAGAUUCGAGAACCCUGACUUCACUUCAACUUAACCUAGAUGAUGUUCAAACGGCGUACGGGAUAUCGAUUCGUCUACCGCGCCGGCGGCCAUACCUGAGUACCAUCAGAUCCAACGACAACAAUAGUCAAUUUAAAGAAUAAAACUGUACGUUUUACAA